GAUGAACGCUGGCGGCGUGCCUAACACAUGCAAGUCGAACGGUACCUCUUCGGGUGACGAGUGGCGGACGGCUGAGUAACGCGUGGGAACGUGCCCUAAAGUGAGGAAUAAGCUCAAGAAAUUGAGUCUAAUACCGCAUAUGGUCUUCGGAUUAAAGUAUUUAUACGCUUUGGGAGCGGCCCGCGUCGGAUUAGGUUGUUGGUGAGGUAAAGGCUCACCAAGCCGACGAUCCGUAGCUGGUCUGAGAGGAUGACCAGCCAGACUGGAACUGAGACACGGUCCAGACUCCUACGGGAGGCAGCAGUGAGGAAUCUUCCACAAUGGGGGCAACCCUGAUGGAGCAACGCCGCGUGCAGGAUGAAGGCCUUCGGGUUGUAAACGUGCUUUUAUUAGUGAAGAAUACGACUGUAACUAAUGAAUAAGGAUCGGCUAACUACGUGCCAGCAGCCGCGGUCAUACGUAGGAUCCGAGCGUUAUCCGGAGUGACUGGGCGUAAAGAGUUGCGUAGGCGGUUUAUUAAGCGAAUAGUGAAAUCUGGUGGCUCAACCAUACAGACUAUUUGUUCGAACUGGUAAACUCGAGAGUGAUAGAGGUAGCUGGAAUUUCUAGUGUAGGAGUGAUAUCCGUAGAUAUUAGAAGGAACACCGAUGGCGUAGGCAGGCUACUGGAUCAUUUCUGACGCUAAGGCACGAAAGCGUGGGGAGCGAACCGGAUUAGAUACCCGGGUAGUCCACGCCGUAAACGAUGGAUGCUAGCUGUUCGAGGUAUCGACCCCUGGAGUAGCGAAGCUAACGCGUUAAGCAUCCCGCCUGUGGAGUACGGCCGCAAGGCUAAAACAUAAAGGAAUUGACGGGGACCCGCACAAGCGGUGGAUCGUGUUCUUUAAUUCGAUGAUAAACGAAGAACCUUACCAGGGCUUGACAUCCAGGGAAUUUCUACGAAAGUAGUUAGUGCCUUUUGGAACCCUGUGACAGGUGAUGCAUGGCCGUCGUCAGCUCGUGUCGUGAGAUGUUUGGUUAAGUCCAUCAACGAGCGCAACCCUUGUGAAUAGUUGGAUUUUUCUAUUCAGACUGCCCCGGUAACGGGGAGGAAGGAGGGGAUGAUGUCAGGUCAGUAUUUCCCUUACGUCCUGGGCUAGAAACACGAUACAAUGGCUAGUACAAUGCGCAGCGAAGCCGCGAGGUGGAGCAAAUCGCAUCAAAGCUAGUCCCAGUUCGGAUAAGAGGCUGAAACUCGCCUCUUUGAAGUCGGAAUCGCUAGUAAUCGCAAAUCAGCAAGUUGCGGUGAAUACGUUCCCGGGUCU
rnacentral:rRNA from 1 species